UACAGAGGGUGUGGCGUAUACGUGAAUUACUGGGCGUAAAGCGUGCGUAGACGGCUAUCUAAGUCGGGUGUGAAAGCCCCGGGCUCAACCUGGGAAUUGCAUUCGAGACUGAAUAGCUAGGGUACGGUAGAGGGAAGUGGAAUUUCCGGUGUAGCGGUGAAAUGCGUAGAUAUCGGAAGGAACAUCAGUGGCGAAAGCGACUUCCUGGACCAGUACCGACGUUCAGGCACGAAAGCGUGGGGAGCAAACAGG
rnacentral:rRNA from 1 species